UCUCCGUUGGUGAACCAGCGGAGGGAUCAUUACAGAGUUAUCCAACUCCCAAACCCAUGUGAACUUAUCUCUUUGUUGCCUCGGCGCAAGCUACCCGGGACCUCGCGCCCCGGGCGGCCCGCCGGCGGACAAACCAAAACUCUUGUUAUCUUAGUUGAUUAUCUGAGUGUCUUAUUUAAUAAGUCAAAACUUUCAACAACGGAUCUCUUGGUUCUGGCAUCGAUGAAGAACGCAGC
rnacentral:misc_RNA from 1 species